CCCUUAGAUGUUCUGGGCCGCACGCGCGCUACACUGAUGCAUUCAACGAGCCUAUCCUUGACCGACAGGUCCGGGUAAUCUUUGAAUCUGCAUCGUGACGGGGAUAGAUUAUUGCAAUUAUUAAUCUUCAACGAGGAAUGCCUAGUAGGCGCAAGUCAUCAGCUUGCGUCGAUUACGUCCCUGCCCUUUGUACACACCGCCCGUCGCACCUACCGAUUGAACGUUCCGGUGAGACCUUGGGAUUUUGGUUUAUUUGAUUUAUUUCAGAUUUACUAGAAGAACUUGAGCAAACCUUAACGUUUAGAGGAAGGUGAAGUCGUAACA
rnacentral:rRNA from 1 species